GGGGAGAAGAUUCAUUAUAUAACCAGGACGCUAUCGAGCUAUCUGGCGGAAGAUGAUGUUGCAGAAUUAUCUACAGCAUUUGUUGAAGCACGUAGUACCUUUUUUUGGGUCAGCUUUGAUAUUUCCUUUCCUUUUUAUGUAGCGAUCAUGUAUUUAAAAACAGAAAAAAAAGAAAAUGCUCCAUGAUCUCAUACAAGUU
rnacentral:lncRNA from 1 species